GACAGAGGGUGCAAACGUUUGUUCGGAAUUACUGGGCGUAAAGCGUGUGUAGGCGGCUUUGCAAGUCGGAUGUGAAAGCCCCGGGCUCAACCCGGGAAGUGCACUCGAUACUGCAGAGCUUGAGUGUCGGAGAGGUUGGUGGAAUUCUCGGUGUAGAGGUGAAAUUCGUAGAUAUCGAGAGGAACACCGGCGGCGAAGGCGGCCAACUGGACGAACACUGACGCUGGAGACACGAAAGCGUGGGGAGCAAACAGG
rnacentral:rRNA from 1 species